UCUCAAUGGGACAUCAGGAAGAGGACCCAUGAGAAGGCCUCUGGGCAAAAUGAGAAACCGGGGAUUGGAGAUUCACACCGACUCUACUGGAGAGAAAGAGAGAUUUUAUUCAGUUAGGAGUUAGACAGACUGUGGCUAUCCAUGGCUGAUCCACUUGUAGCACUGGCUUGUGGACUGUCUGCAGCAUUUCUGUUCCUGUUGCUGUUUGGCCUAUCAGUGUAUCUACUGGAGGAAGAGAUGAAAUCAAACGCUCUACAGGGGACUGAUACCUACCACCCCCACAAUCCCACGAUGCACCGCUCCAGUGCUUCAGACAUCACAGAGCAGCAGCUAUGGCUCAGAACCACAUAGUGUUCCUUUUCUUUGUGCCUCAACUAUACAAGAGGAAAGAAGAAACAGUGCAUGCUGAGGAAUGGGAAGUCCUUCCAGUUCUGCACACCCAGCGAGGCUCUCUGACAGUAGGGACUAGGGAGUGUGUCAGACUCUAUAGGCAUUAGGCAUCAGAAACAAUGACACAAAGAAAGAAUAAAGAGAAUGUUUUUACUGUCUGUUUCUCAUUCUGCUCUCUGUGGUUCUUGAGGUUGGCUGCCCCUGGGCAGCAUAUUACCAGACCUGUACCAGCUUCCAGAGGAACCCAGUGAAUGGGCCCUUCCCAACGGCUCAGCUGUUCGUCUGUGGUUCGCUCUGUGUAUCAGCAGGAGAGAGAGCAGCUGGUGGUGUCUCUGCUCCGUGCUGCUAACCUGCCCGCUCACUGCCAGGGUAAAGAGUCUCUCCUGAUAAACAUGGGCAACCUUCGUCUCUCUAUGUGGGUACAUCAUCAUCUUCCCCUUUAUAUGGAAAUACAAGUGCAUUUAACUGUUUCUUGAUUUGUAUGUGAAUUUAUUUCCAAAAACAUUUUUGUUUUAAAUAAUGGAGAAACUUUGAUUUUUAAAAUUAGAGAAGACAUUUCAUAGUUGAUGUCUCCAUCUACUGGCCAUUGCAAGCAGGUUUCCUGAGUCAUUCCUGGGGAUGACUCAUAUUCUGGGUUAGUACAGGUUCGCGACAAGCUGCUGAUUUUUAUGUUUAUGAAAUGUUAUUUAAUGUUAUUUAAUAAGAUAUUUAAUCUUAUUCUCAACAAGACUGCAUUCAUCUGUCCAGAUACAGUAAAACAGUAAUACUGUGAAAUACUAUUUUAAUUUAAAUUCCAUGGUGUCUAUUUAAAUAUAUUUUAAAAAUUGUUAUUUAUUUCUGUGAUAGCAAAGCUGAAUUCAUCAUUACUCCAAUGUUCAGUGUCACAUGAUCCUUCAGAAAUCAUUCUAAUAUGCUGAUUUGGUGCUCAACAAGGUUAUUAUAGUUAACUAGAACUAAAAUACACACAAAAAUACAAAAACUUAAAUAAAUAAAAUAUAGCAAUAAAAAUGUAUUCAAACUAUUAAUAAAACAAUCUGCAAUCAUGAGGAAAUUUUAAACGUAAUAUUUUUUAGGAAAUGGCAAUACAUUUAUUUCAGUAAAAAAAAAGUUUUUUUAUUUGAAAUGUUUUAUAACAUUGUAGAUGUCUUAUGUGUCCUUAUAUUUGUCGAUUAUAUAUGUUGGUCAAUUCCUGAUCCCACUCAUAUAUUCUGAACUGAAGGACACAGCAGGCAAAGUGCAGUGGAGGGAUCUGGACAGUGAAAGUGAUCAAGUAUGACACUCUAAUAUUAAAGGAAUAGCUUACACGUACAUUAAAAAUCUGUCAUCAUUUACUCACCUUCAUGUCUUUCCAAACCUGUGUGAAUUUAUUCUGUGUAACAUAAAAAAUGUAAAAAAAAUAAUGCAACAGAAGAAAGAAAAUCAUUCAUUCAUGUCAUUCAGAAAUGACAUGAGGGUAAAAAAAACUACUUUUUAAUUUUUAGGCUAAACCUUUAAUCAAAACUUGGGGAAAGAGUGCUGUACUAAUGUGCUCUUUUUACUGAAAAGAAAAGAAGAAAGGCAUGACAUUUGCCAAGUAUGGUAACCCAUACUCGGAACUGGUGCUCUGCAUUUAACCCAUCCAAGAGCACACACACAGCAGUAAGAAGUGAACACCCACCCGGAGCAGCUAUAUAUCCAGCACUCGGGGAGCAAUUGAGGGUUCAGUGCCUCGCUCAAGGGUACUUCAGCCAUGGGUAUUGAGGGUGGAAGAGAGCGCUGUUCAUUCACUCCCUCCCACCUACAUCUCCUGCCAGCAUCAAGACUCGAACCUGCAACCUUUGAGUUACAAGUCCAAUUCUCUAACCAUUAGGCCACAGCUGCACAGAGGCUGCUGUUGUAGCCUCUCUUUCAAAAAGGUGACAUCCAGGUGUCUCUGAACUACAAUCAGCCUCCACACUGCCUCACUGUGGUUGUUCUACGAGUGCGAGGUUUACAGUGUUGCAGGUGAGAAACCCAGCAAUAAAGAAUACAGUACAGUGACAAGCAGUCUUUGUGCACCUUUAACAUGAAUGUAAAAUGGAUGUUACAGGUGUGUGCGCUCAUCUCUCUGAAGAUACAUACUCAGGUGGUGAGGAACAAGUGGACCACUGUAGCGAAAGGAAAUAAUCUAUCCUUUAAUGAGAGGCUUACCUUCAGACUCCUCCCCUUGCACCUGGACACACCCUGCCUGACCCUACAGCUCCAGCAGCUCAGCACAGAGAGUCAUUCAGUCAUUUCCAAGAAAUAAUUUUAGACGACAAAGUAUUGUUGUGUUAAAUUAAAA